rnacentral:rRNA from 1 species
UACGUAGGGUGCGAGCGUUAAUCGGAAUUACUGGGCGUAAAGCGUGCGCAGGCGGUUCGUUAUGUCCGAUGUGAAAGCCCCGAGCUCAACUUGGGAAUGGCAUUGGAAACUGGCGGGCUGGAGUGUGGCAGAGGGGGGUGGGAUUCCACGUGUAGCAGUGAAAUGCGUAGAGAUGUGGAGGAACACCGAUGGCGAAGGCAGCCCCCUGGGCCAACACUGACGCUCAGGCACGAAAGCGUGGGGAGCAAACAGG